GCGACCAUAGCUCAAUUGGUUAGAGCGCUGGUUUGUGGUACCAGAGGUUGCGGGUUCAAUUCCCGUUGGUCGCCCCA
rnacentral:tRNA from 1 species